AGAGUUUGAUCCUGGCUCAGGAUGAACGCUGGCGGCGUGCCUAAUACAUGCAAGUCGAGCGAACAGACGAGGAGCUUGCUCCUCUGACGUUAGCGGCGGACGGGUGAGUAACACGUGGAUAACCUACCUAUAAGACUGGGAUAACUUCGGGAAACCGGAGCUAAUACCGGAUAAUAUAUUGAACCGCAUGGUUCAAUAGUGAAAGACGGUUUUGCUGUCACUUAUAGAUGGAUCCGCGCCGCAUUAGCUAGUUGGUAAGGUAACGGCUUACCAAGGCAACGAUGCGUAGCCGACCUGAGAGGGUGAUCGGCCACACUGGAACUGAGACACGGUCCAGACUCCUACGGGAGGCAGCAGUAGGGAAUCUUCCGCAAUGGGCGAAAGCCUGACGGAGCAACGCCGCGUGAGUGAUGAAGGUCUUCGGAUCGUAAAACUCUGUUAUUAGGGAAGAACAAAUGUGUAAGUAACUAUGCACGUCUUGACGGUACCUAAUCAGAAAGCCACGGCUAACUACGUGCCAGCAGCCGCGGUAAUACGUAGGUGGCAAGCGUUAUCCGGAAUUAUUGGGCGUAAAGCGCGCGUAGGCGGUUUUUUAAGUCUGAUGUGAAAGCCCACGGCUCAACCGUGGAGGGUCAUUGGAAACUGGAAAACUUGAGUGCAGAAGAGGAAAGUGGAAUUCCAUGUGUAGCGGUGAAAUGCGCAGAGAUAUGGAGGAACACCAGUGGCGAAGGCGACUUUCUGGUCUGUAACUGACGCUGAUGUGCGAAAGCGUGGGGAUCAAACCAGGAUUAGAUACCCUGGUAGUCCACGCCGUAAACGAUGA
rnacentral:rRNA from 1 species